UUGAUCCUGGCUCAGGACGAACGCUGGCGGCACGCUUAACACAUGCAAGUCGAACGAGAGAAGAGAAGCUUGCUUUUCUGAUCUAGUGGCGGACGGGUGAGUAACACGUGAGCAAUCUGCCUUUCAGAGGGGGAUACCGAUUGGAAACGAUCGUUAAUACCGCAUAACAUAAUUGAACCGCAUGAUUUGAUUAUCAAAGAUUUAUCGCUGAAAGAUGAGCUCGCGUCUGAUUAGCUAGUUGGUAAGGUAACGGCUUACCAAGGCGACGAUCAGUAGCCGGACUGAGAGGUUGAUCGGCCACAUUGGGACUGAGACACGGCCCAGACUCCUACGGGAGGCAGCAGUGGGGAAUAUUGCACAAUGGAGGAAACUCUGAUGCAGCGAUGCCGCGUGAGGGAAGAAGGUUUUAGGAUUGUAAACCUCUGUCUUCAGGGACGAAAAAAGACGGUACCUGAGGAGGAAGCUCCGGCUAACUACGUGCCAGCAGCCGCGGUAAUACGUAGGGAGCGAGCGUUGUCCGGAAUUACUGGGUGUAAAGGGAGCGUAGGCGGGAUCGCAAGUCAGAUGUGAAAACUAUGGGCUUAACCCAUAAACUGCAUUUGAAACUGUGGUUCUUGAGUGAAGUAGAGGUAAGCGGAAUUCCUAGUGUAGCGGUGAAAUGCGUAGAUAUUAGGAGGAACAUCAGUGGCGAAGGCGGCUUACUGGGCUUUAACUGACGCUGAGGCUCGAAAGCGUGGGGAGCAAACAGGAUUAGAUACCCUGGUAGUCCACGCCGUAAACGAUGAUUACUAGGUGUGGGGGGACUGACCCCUUCCGUGCCGCAGCAAACGCAAUAAGUAAUCCACCUGGGGAGUACGACCGCAAGGUUGAAACUCAAAGGAAUUGACGGGGGCCCGCACAAGCAGUGGAGUAUGUGGAUUAAUUCGAAGCAACGCGAAGAACCUUACCAGGUCUUGACAUCGUAUGCAUAGCUCAGAGAUGAGUGAAAUCUCUUCGGAGACAUAUAGACAGGUGGUGCAUGGUUGUCGUCAGCUCGUGUCGUGAGAUGUUGGGUUAAGUCCCGCAACGAGCGCAACCCUUACUGUUAGUUGCUACGCAAGAGCACUCUAGCAGGACUGCCGUUGACAAAACGGAGGAAGGUGGGGAUGACGUCAAAUCAUCAUGCCCCUUAUGACCUGGGCCUCACACGUACUACAAUGGCUGUUAACAGAGGGAUGCAAAGCCGCGAGGUGGAGCGAACCCCUAAAAGCAGUCUUAGUUCGGAUUGUAGGCUGCAACCCGCCUACAUGAAGUCGGAAUUGCUAGUAAUCGCAGAUCAGCAUGCUGCGGUGAAUACGUUCCCGGACG
rnacentral:rRNA from 1 species